AUCACUUAAAGCGAUUCAGCGGAUGACGAUUGACGGAGCGAAGCGACGUCAAAGCGUAUACAAAGUCGAGUCGGUUUAAGGAUACGUUCGUUGGGUAGGGGAGCGUUCUGUAAGCCUGCGAAGGUGGCCUGUGAGGGUUGCUGGAGGUAUCAGAAGUGCGAAUGCUGACAUAAGUAACGAUAAAGCGGGUGAAAAGCCCGCUCGCCGGAAGACCAAGGGUUCCUGUCCAACGUUAAUCGGGGCAGGGUGAGUCGACCCCUAAGGCGAGGCCGAAAGGCGUAGUCGAUGGGAAACGGGUUAAUAUUCCCGUACUUGGUGUUACUGCGAAGGGGGGACGGAGAAGGCUAUGUUGGCCGGGCGACGGUUGUCCCGGUUUAAGCGUGUAGGUGUGUGUUCCAGGUAAAUCCGGUUCACUUUAACACUGAGGCGUGACGACGAGGCACUACGGUGCUGAAGCAACAAAUGCCCUGCUUCCAGGAAAAGCCUCUAAGCAUCAGGUAACAUCAAAUCGUACCCCAAACCGACACAGGUGGUCAGGUAGAGAAUACCAAGGCGCUUGAGAGAACUCGGGUGAAGGAACUAGGCAAAAUGGUGCCGUAACUUCGGGAGAAGGCACGCUGACACGUAGGUGAAGUGAUUUACUCAUGGAGCUGAAGUCAGUCGAAGAUACCAGCUGGCUGCAACUGUUUAUUAAAAACACAGCACUGUGCAAACACGAAAGUGGACGUAUACGGUGUGACGCCUGCCCGGUGCCGGAAGGUUAAUUGAUGGGGUCAGCGCAAGCGAAGCUCCUGAUCGAAGCCCCGGUAAACGGCGGCCGUAACUAUAACGGUCCUAAGGUAGCGAAAUUCCUUGUCGGGUAAGUUCCGACCUGCACGAAUGGCGUAAUGAUGGCCAGGCUGUCUCCACCCGAGACUCAGUGAAAUUGAACUCGCUGUGAAGAUGCAGUGUACCCGCGGCAAGACGGAAAGACCCCGUGAACCUUUACUAUAGCUUGACACUGAACAUUGAGCCUUGAUGUGUAGGAUAGGUGGGAGGCUUUGAAGUGUGGACGCCAGUCUGCAUGGAGCCGACCUUGAAAUACCACCCUUUAAUGUUU
rnacentral:rRNA from 1 species